rnacentral:rRNA from 1 species
GGAGGAAAAGAAACUAACAAGGAUUCCCCUAGUAACUGCGAGUGAAGCGGGAAAAGCUCAAAUUUUAAAUCUGGUGGUCUCUGGCCAUCCGAGUUGUAAUCUAGAGAAGUGUUACCCGCGUCGGACCGUGUAUAAGUCUCCUGGAAUGGAGCGUCAUAGAGGGUGAGAAUCCCGUCUUUGACACGGACUACCGAGGCUUUGUGGUAUGCUCUCAAAGAGUCGAGUUGUUUGGGAAUGCAGCUCAAAAUGGGUGGUAAAUUCCAUCUAAAGCUAAAUAUUGGCGAGAGACCGAUAGCGAACAAGUACCGUGAGGGAAAGAUGAAAAGAACUUUGGAAAGAGAGUUAAACAGUACGUGAAAUUGCUGAAAGGGAAACGCUUGAAGUCAGUCGCGUUGGCCGGGAAUCAGCCUUGCUUUUGCUUGGUGUACUUUCUGGUUGACGGGCCAGCAUCAGUUUUGACCGGUGGAAAAAGUUCAGAGGAAUGUGGCAUCUUCGGGUGUGUUAUAGCCUCUGUUCGUAUGCAUCGAUUGGGACUGAGGAACUCAGCACGCCGCAAGGCCGGGUCUUUGACCACGUUCGUGCUUAGGAUGCUGGCAUAAUGGCUUUAAUCGACCCGUCUUGAAACACGGACCAAGGAGUCUAACAUGCCUGCGAGUGUUUGGGUGGAAAACCCGAGCGCGUAAUGAAAGUGAAAGUUGAGAUCCUUGUCAUGGGGAGCAUCGACGCCCGGACCUGACGUUUUCUGACGGCCCUGCGGUAGAGCAUGUAUGUUGGGACCCGAAAGAUGGUGAACUAUGCCUGAAUAGGGUGAAGCCAGAGGAAACUCUGGUGGAGGCUCGUAGCGAUUCUGACGUGCAAAUCGAUCGUCAAAUUUGGGUAUAGGGGCGAAAGACUAAUCGAACCAUCUAGUAGCUGGUUC